rnacentral:rRNA from 1 species
UAGGGAAUCUUCGGCAAUGGGGGCAACCCUGACCGAGCAACGCCGCGUGAGUGAAGAAGGUUUUCGGAUCGUAAAGCUCUGUUGUAAGAGAAGAACGUGUGUGAGAGUGGAAAGUUCACACAGUGACGGUAACUUACCAGAAAGGGACGGCUAACUACGUGCCAGCAGCCGCGGUAAUACGUAGGUCCCGAGCGUUGUCCGGAUUUAUUGGGCGUAAAGCGAGCGCAGGCGGUUUAAUAAGUCUGAAGUUAAAGGCAGUGGCUUAACCAUUGUUCGCUUUGGAAACUGUUAAACUUGAGUGCAGAAGGGGAGAGUGGAAUUCCAUGUGUAGCGGUGAAAUUCGUAGAUAUAUGGAGGAACACCGGUGGCGAAAGCGGCUCUCUGGUCUGUAACUGACGCUGAGGCUCGAAAGCGUGGGGAGCAAACAGG